UACGUAGGGGGCAAGCGUUGUCCGGAAUUAUUGGGCGUAAAAGCGCGCGCAGGCGGUCCUUUAAGUCUGAUGUGAAAGCCCACGGCUUAACCGUGGCGUGUCAUUGGAAACUGAGGGACUCGAGUACAGAAGAGGAGAGUGGUAUUCCACGUGGAGCGGUGAAAUGCGUAGAUAUGUGGAGGAACACCAGUGGCGAAGGCGACUCUCUGGUCUGUAACUGACGCUGAGGUGCGAAAGCAUGGGUAGCGAACAGGAUUAGAUA
rnacentral:rRNA from 1 species